AGUUCCUUUUUGUUUUUCCUUUUCGAUUUUGUCUUCGGUCUUGGUUUAUAGAACGAACUGUUUCGAGAUCGAAGACACAAUAUUUAUAACAGAAAAGAUUUCAACAAAAACUUUUGGAUCAGGGGCAAAAGUAGCCUGCGAAUACAGACGCCUCAUUGUGCUACGCAUUGUAGCAACUCGCUACAAAUAUGGACAGUCCUGAUAUUUCGGUUGGCAACUGUUCUUCGACACAAGAUACUUUG